GAACAACUUUGCUGUUUAUGGCGUCGUUAUUCGACGUCAUAAACACGAUCAACUUUGGUGUUUAUGACGUCGAAUAUCGACGUCAUAACCACGAUCA